rnacentral:rRNA from 1 species
GCGCGCAAAUUACCCAAUCCAGACAUUGGGAGGUAGUGACGAGAAAUACCAAAGUGUGCCUUUUGGUACUCUAUUGGAAUGAACGUAACAUAGUACCUUCGAUGAGUACCUACUGGAGGGCAAGUCUGGUGCCAGCAGCCGCGGUAAUUCCAGCUCCAGUAGUGUAUAUCAAAAUUGUUGCGGUUAAAACGCUCGUAGUUGGAUUACAAAAGUCAGGCGUUGGUCAAGCAGUAGCUUGGUCAAUGUGGGGCUUUUUUAUCGCAAGAACCACUCGUGCAUUUAACCGUGUGCGGGUGAUCACUUGCGGAGCGUGCCUUGAAUAAAGCACAGUGCUCAAAGCAAGCGUAACGCUCGAAUGUUUAAGCAUGGAACGAAUAAUUCUGACUACAGGUUCAGUUGUUGGUUAUCUGAGCCGGGUCCUGAUUAAAAGGGACAUUUGAGGGCGUUAGUACUUGACGGCGAGAGGUGAAAUUCUUAGACCCGUCAAAGACUCACUGAUGCGAAAGCAUUCGCCAAGAAUGUUUUCAUUGAUCAAGAACGAAAGUUAGAGGUUCGAAGACGAUUAGAUACCGUCCUAGUUCUAUACAGUAAACUAUGCCACCAAGGGAUCAGUUCGGAAUUAGAUCCAGGUUGGUCCCUCCAGGAAACUCGAAGAUUUCGGGCUCCGGGGGGAGUACGGUUGCAAGGCUGAAACUUAAAGGAAUUGACGGAAGGGCACCACCAGGAGUGGAGCCUGCGGCUUAAUUUGACUCAACACGGGGCAACUCACCAGGUCCAGACAUUGAAAGGAUUGACAGACUGAUAGAUCUUUCAAGAUCCAAUGAUUGGUGGUGCAUGGCCGUUCUUAGUUGGUGGAGCGAUCUGUCAGGUCUAUUCCGGUAACGAGCGAGACCACGAUCUCUAUUUGACUACGGUUAUUUACCGUCGUAACCGGUCAUAGAGAGACCACCGGAGUACAAGCCGGGGGAAGCGUGGCAAUAACAGGUCUGUGAUGCCCUUCGAUGUUCUGGGCUGCACGCGCGCUACAAUGGCAGUGACAACAAGAUUCUGCUUCGAGAGGAGUGGAAAACCUUGGCAAUCGCUGUCGUGAUUGGGAUUGAGCCUUGUAAUAAUUGCUCAUGAAAGAGGAAUUCCUCGUAAGCGCGUGUCACCAACUCGUGUUGAAUACGUCUCUGCCCUUUGUACACACCGCCCGUCGCUACUACCGAUUGAAUGGCUUUUCGAGAUGU